ACAUGCAAGUCGAACGGAUCUAGGGGCUUGCUCCUAGGUUAGUGGCGAACGGGUGAGUAAUGCAUCGGAACGUACCCAGUCGUGGGGGAUAACGUAGCGAAAGUUACGCUAAUACCGCAUACGCCCCGAGGGGGAAAGUGGGGGACCGCAAGGCCUCACGCUAUAUGAGCGGCCGAUGUCGGAUUAGCUAGUUGGUAGGGUAAAGGCCUACCAAGGCGACGAUCCGUAGCGGGUCUGAGAGGAUGAUCCGCCACACUGGGACUGAGACACGGCCCAGACUCCUACGGGAGGCAGCAGUGGGGAAUUUUGGACAAUGGGCGCAAGCCUGAUCCAGCCAUGCCGCGUGAGUGAAGAAGGCCUUCGGGUUGUAAAGCUCUUUCAGACGGAAAGAAAUCUCCCGGGAUAAUACCUCGGGAGGAUGACGGUACCGUAAGAAGAAGCACCGGCUAACUACGUGCCAGCAGCCGCGGUAAUACGUAGGGUGCGAGCGUUAAUCGGAAUUACUGGGCGUAAAGCGUGCGCAGGCGGUCUUGUAAGACAGAUGUGAAAUCCCCGGGCUCAACCUGGGACCUGCAUUUGUGACUGCAAGGCUAGAGUACGGCAGAGGGGGGUGGAAUUCCACGUGUAGCAGUGAAAUGCGUAGAGAUGUGGAGGAACACCAAUGGCGAAGGCAGCCCCCUGGGUCGAUACUGACGCUCAUGCACGAAAGCGUGGGUAGCAAACAGGAUUAGAUACCCUGGUAGUCCACGCCCUAAACGAUGUCAACUAGGUGUUGGGAGGGUAAAACCUUUUAGUACCGGAGCUAACGCGUGAAGU
rnacentral:rRNA from 1 species